UGUGAUGUUUGACUUUCCAGAGGGUGUAU
rnacentral:piRNA from 1 species